CUUUUCCUCUUCUGGAGUCUCGGUGCCUCGUUCACUCUCCUCUCCCUCCUUGUCCUUCUCCAAGUCGUCUCCUGUGGUUUCACUGCUGACAUCUGGGGAGGAAAAAGCGACUUUCAGGCAGGACCCAGCGACCAGCAGGGGAAAGAAAAGGACCCCCGGACCCCCCCUCACACGCUCUUCCAUGAAGCUUUUGCUCACGCAAUCUAAGGCCUGAAAGUGAUGCAGCUUAUUAACAAAAGCUCCAGAAAUGCAGGGCCCAGGACAAUAGUUCCAGCUCCCUCAUCAAGGCUGCCCCUACCUUCUACGCUCUUCACAACGAUCCACUUACAGUGAUGAUGGCCUUUUGAGCAGCUUCAUCGUGAAUAAGCUUUGCCUUCUCAAGUGCUUUUUCAAAGUUAAUGAUUGCAGACUGGUAACUCCUUAAUUUUACUGUAAAAGACAAAUGAAAAGAUCUAUUUUGACCCAAGAUCAAGA